CAGGAGGGGGUGGAUCCAUGUCUGGGGGUGGUGGAUCCAUGUCUGGAGGAGGAAAAGGCUCAGGAUAUGGAGGAGGAGGAAGCUCUGGUGGCUCCAUCUGUGGAGGAGGAAGUUCAGGUGGAGGAUCCAUGUCUGGGGGAGGAAAAGGCUCAGGAUACGGAGGAGGAGGAAGCUCUGGUGGCUCCAUUUGUGGAG